rnacentral:lncRNA from 1 species
AGAAAUGGCAGCGGCAGCCGCAGCAGCGACCCAGAGAUCUGGGUUCUCAGGGACUUGAGCAGAAGAAAGUGGGCGCGCCCCACUCACCUGCUUUUGCCUCUCCCAUCCUGGCCUCUUCCUCCCCUCCCAGAGCCCAGGACCCUGGAAUGGCAGCCUGCCCUCCCACUGCGCAUGCGCCUCAACCGUUGCCGGGGCCUCACUGAGACCCACGCAGUUGCUAAGCGACGGAUCCACCGCGUUCUGAAAGCAGAGUUGCGCCCUCUGGCGGUGGCCUGGUGCCUGUGCAGGUCAUCUUUGAGGGUUUGCCAGGAAGUAUCAUGGAAGCGGUCUGCUCUGUGACCCUGAGAUAGGACUGCCUGUGAGCUUCUGGGCAGCUUUGCUAAAUCAGGGUCUUCAGCACUUGGAGCCACAGCCGGAGCCCGUGGCGCUGCCUGUGCGGGUGGAGGGUUGGGGCUUGCCUGCAUCUGCUUGGGCCUCCCUGCACGUCCCAUUCCUCCUGCUGACCUUGUAGCUGUGUCACUGAGUGUGAUUCUUUUUUCCCUCCCUGUUGUCUUUCCUGGGUGUCCUGAAGAUGUCUCUCGCUCGGCCAAGGCUUCGGACUGGCAUUUGGAAGAAGCCUCUCUCCAUCCUGAGAGACGCUUUUCCAAACAUAAGAUCGCGGGAAGCCCUUAUCAGGAACUCAUUUGACAUUUUCAGGGAAGGUGCUCAAAGAGGUCCAAGAAGGUGCUUAUGGCUCUAUGCUCCCCCGGCCCGCUUCCCCAGUGUUAAAAUCUGACCUCACCAUAGCGCUAUGAUCGAGAAGAAAAAAGUCCCUCCGGAACAAUGGGAUCUGACUCAACUGCAGACUGGAUGGCAAAUUCAUCCCUGAUUCGCUUGCAGUUUAGCUGUUUUCGCCUUCCAGCACUUCGUCUUCUGGCUUCCACUCUUUAUACCGGGAAGGAGCUCCCUGGGGAGUCGGGGUAAUUGUAGGGGUCUUCGGAGCCAGGGGAUCUCCUCGGAAGGUGCUCUCUCUUUCUCUAUUUUUUCUUUUCACUCUGUCUUCAAGUUUCCCAUACCUCAGCAGAACUGACUGGGCAGCAGAGGAAGCGGGAACGGUCCGUCCAUCUCCUGGCCUCACGAGACUUGGCUCCCCG